CUAGUGCUGCUCCUAGCCUUACUGAAGCUCCCCUGAAUACCAGCUGCAUAGCCCUGACACCUGUAACCUCCACUGCCACAGUGAUUGUUAAGGCAUUUGUGGGAGGCAUGGAGACGAUAGCAUCAUUUGAAGGCACAUGUGAAGCAGUUGAUUGGCCAGUUGCUGUAAAUGACCACAAAACAGGAUCUUCACAGAUGAUAACCUUCUCUCUAGCCCGCACACUCUACGGCCGUAUACGAGCAAAGCUGAGGGACCUUUUAACUCGAUCCGCUCGAGAAGAAGGUGUGGCUAAGGAUGCUUCUCUUCAGGAGUCUUCAGACACCCUGGAAAAGGCAACUGUUUCAACUGUUGAGGUCCAGUUACCCAGCACCGAACUUAGUAGAGUUCCCAGUGAGAGCCAACCAAUACCAGCUCUCUGUCUCUCCAAUCUGGAUACCAGUACUCAAGAAGUUCUUAGCAGUGUUUUUUCCAUCUACAAGUCAGAGUUAUCAAAAGUGGAGAGUAAAUCCUUGGCCGUUGUCAGAGUUAUCAAAAGUGGAGAGUAAAUCCUUGGCCGUUGUCAGUUCAUCUGAUGAGUCCCUAGAGGCUUGUUGGUUUGUUGAUAGUGUCCUAUCAAAGCUCGAUGACUAUACUAUUUCCCAGUCACCCUCACCCAAUGAAGACUUGAGCGUGAGUACUCAAUAUUCUCAACUGAGCUCAGAAGAGAGUGUCAGAAUCACAGAGUCCUCUACUAGUCUGAUUCAGAGCAUUAAGAAGCUCUCUAGCAAUGACUUCCAGACUCAGGCAGAAGAGGCAGUGAGUAAAGUGCUGAUGAGAUCCAGUCAUUCCUUUAUCACACAGAUCAGCCAUACUGGUCUUCAGAAAAGUCUGCAGGCUGGCUUAUCAUCUAGCUCACCAUCAGAGAUCCAUGUCCUUUCAGAAUCCAUGUCCUCCAUGUCCUCUGAGAAUACAGCCUCUGGAUUAGUGGAAACCUUUGUCAAAGGAAUGGCGACUAUUUUCCAGAAAAAUGAGUCCACUGACACUGUGCUACUGGAAAGAAGUGGGAGAGUUUCGCAGUGCUCCCACGGGGGCUCCCAACUGGAUGAUACUGAAUUGAGUGUUAAAAUAUCAGAGGAGAAGCUUUGGUCAACAGCUAAGACCAUCUGCGUCAGUAUGAAGAACACACUUAAGGAUUUCUUCACAGGGCUGAAGCCACCCGGAUCCGAAAGGACAGAAAAUGCUUCUUCCAAAGAGACCCUUGGGGAAAUCCUGGUUGCUAUCCAGAGUGAAAUCUCAAACUUAGGGCGAAUGAAGGAUUCCAGGGAGCUCCUUCAGAUCAAUGAUAUGGUAGGAACUAUGCUGAAGGAGGUUGAGAAAAGUGAGGAUGACAGUGAACAAGUCUGCCAAGACAUCCCUAGAACCUGUUCAUCUUUGUCCACUUCUUUAAAUGGUCGUAGUUCCUUGUCCAGCUCUUCAAAGAGUCCUAGGUCAGAGUGUGAGUUAGAGAUCAACCUCCCUGGCACUCCCAUCCCUGACGAAGUGCCUUUUGAUCUGACCUGCCCCAUCGUCAGGAGCUCCUGCAUCGACACCAGGGUCUCUAAAAUGCAGAGAUUUCUUCAAGUGACCUAAAGACAAAGAUGAUGGCACACACAGAUGAACCCCUGCAUCGUAACAGUCCAAUGACUGACAGCAGUCGACCACCGAGUGCUAAAGCCUCUUUUCGAUCCUCCACUCCGUCUUUCACCAGCAAGGGAACCUCUUGGUACCAAAGGGAGAUGGGAUUGACAUUGAAGAGAAGGAGGAGUGUAUCCCCAGCAGCUCUGGCCAUCUGAGGGAGCUCUUAAUCACCCCGGACAUCAGCAGUGCCUCUGCAUUCCCACUACAGUACUUGAUGGACUCCAGCAAAGAUGAUGUCAUCUGUUUUGGUCGCCAUACUGGUGAUAAGGUUGCUAUCGGAGAUCAGACCCUCAACCCUAGAUGGACCCUCCCAACAGGCAGCAGACGUGACAGAAACAUCUCAGCAACUCAUCAGACAAGUCCUGUCUGAGUUCUGUGCUGCAUCUAGAUUCUCCAGGACACAGGCAUAUUCCCAGAACCUGAACAUCCAAAGGGUGUUCAGAGGUGUACAUAAAAACCUCAUGGAGGAGUUUGGCUCUUAUAACACCCUGCAAGCAGCUAUUUCCUCCCAGGACCCUGCAUUUGACAGAGUCCUGGUAAAGUCCUUGACCCAGCAGCUGGUACAGGGAUGCAAGGAGGCGUCAAGACCAGCUUCUGCUGCAACAAACCCAUCAGACCAGGCUGAGACAGAGAGGGGGGCUGAGCAGAAAGCAAGAAGGAGCUUCCUUUGCUUUUCAAUGACCAAACUCAGGAUCAACUUCAAGGUAUAGCAGGGAGUUAGCAUUUGUUUUUGGUUCCAGUUAGGUGCUGAUGUUAUUGAUGUUAUUGAUAUGAUAAGAC
ensembl:lncRNA